UUAAAUGCAUUUCCUGACGUUCCCUGAAGGUGCAGCUCUAUACAGCAGUAAAGGUUGUCCACACAAUAUGUAAGGACUAUCAUAGCACUGUUUAACUAUAGUCUGGAUGAAUUCAGGAAUCAUGAGUUGCCACACUCUCUGUACCACACACAUUCAUUUAAUUUAUAGCCACCAAAUUGUACAUUUCAAAGAUGUAAAAGUAUUGCUACAAAAAGUUUUUAAAUCAAAUGUUAAGCUUUAUGCAUUGUCACACACACACACACACACACACACACACACACACACACACACACACACACACACACACACACCCUGUUUUUAGGCCCAAUUCAACCCCAUGCCGUCUGAUACAACUUGAUUUAAAGUCAAGACAUCCCACAACAUUUGAAAGUAAUCCACUGUGUGACAAUGAUUUAUUUCUAAAUAGCUUCCAUGUAAACUGUAAUUGGCUGGAUGUCCACAUGGUAACACACUGUUGGUGGAACUUGUUUGGCAGGAAAACCAAAACAUUGGUUCCCAAGACCUGGACAAUGGAGGUGUGUUAAAAUGUACUCGGGACUAAAUGUACUCUGAGGAUUAAUCCUCAAUGAGGAUGGUCUUCUAGUAAUCGCUAGCAGCUCUCUGCUUCUCUAGUAUCAUGCACUCUGUUUAUCGUAUUGUAUACAUGCAUUCAUUAAUUUGCCUAAAACAGUCUUUAAAAGAGUAAAUGUUCUGCUCUGGCCUGAAUGAGUAAGUGGUUUUAAGUACCAUGAACACAUCAAAUUAUUUACAUCUGGCAACAAUGAGAGGCUCUUAAGGAUAACCAGGCAUUUUGUACAGGGUAAUAUAAAGAAACAAGAACCCUCUUUAGUUAGAUAAGGCGCAAAGGUGUGCAAACAAUUUCAUUCACGUAUCAAAUGGGAGUGGUUCAUUCUCUUGUGA